AACAUGAUAAAUUGAUCCCUUCUUGGAAGUUAGGUUCAUUAUUAUCCAAUAGAUCAGUACAGGAUCUGAAGUCAUUCUCUUCAUUUAACAUGGCUAUUCUCUCAAGGUAUUUCCAUUUUCAUUGUUUCCCAUUGUAGUUAGAAAUUGUUGUGCUAUGGGUAAUUUGAGAGACUAAUACGUUGCUGGUUUCUCCUUGAAGUUCUCAUCAUAAAUCCUUGAAAGCUCAGCAAGCAAUUAAUGCGCUUUUGGAGACAAUGGUGAAGAAUUGUGGUGAUCAGGUCCACUUUCAAAUUGCUGAGAGGAACAUAUUGGAUGAGAUGAUCAAAAUUGUAAAGAAGAAGGUAAGGUGGUGUCAGAUAGAAACUUGAGAAUCAUUCUUAUUUAAGUUGCAUAUGUGAUUUCACUUGUGCAUUAUUGACCCUUGGUGAGUGUGUAUUUAUUGCUAUGAACUAGUGGUCUAUUAGUAAAAUUGAUCCAUCAAUAUGAUGUAGUUUGAUUCAGUUGCCAAAUAAUUUGACAUCAACUUAAUUCACUUCUCUUUCUUGUCUUAUUGGCUCAAAUAUUAAUAUUUCUGGUCGUAUUUCAUAGCAAAGUAAAAAGCUCCUAUUGUUCAGGUUUUGCUCUUUGGAUUAAUUGAUCGACCAAAACAUAGAUGAUGUACACCUAUCCAAACA